rnacentral:rRNA from 1 species
AACGAACGCUGGCGGCAUGCCUAACACAUGCAAGUCGAACGACAGCUCCGUGUCUGCUUGCGCACGGGGGCGUAACGCGGCGGAACCUGCCCUUAGGCUUCGAAUAACUCCCCUUAAGGGGGGCUAAUACCGGAUAAUUUACUCUGACCAAAGAUUUGUCGCCCUUGGAAGGGCCCGCGUUGGUUUAGCCAGGUGGUAGUGUAAAAGCCUACCAAGGCGUCGCUACAUAGCUGGGCUGAGAGGCUGAUCAGCCACACUGGGGCGGAGACACGGCCCGGAAUCUUGCGGGAUGCAGCAGUGGGGAAUCUUGGACAAUCGGCGAAAGCAUGAUCGAGCACUGCCGCGUGAGUGAUGAAGGUGUUAGGGUUGUAAAGCUCUUUUACCCGGGAUGAUAAUGACAGUACCGGGAGAAUAAGCACCGGCUAACUCCGUG